GGGCAGUUGCCACGCAUGCCUAUCACAACAGUGCUGUUCCAGAGAAGAUUAUAGGCAUAACUGAACCAGGACCCAUGGUUGCUGUUGUGGUAGUAAUCUUGGUAAUUCUAGGUGGUGUGGUGUACAGCCUUCGACACUUCAAAAGACAGCCAGGUAUAGUACGGCAA